AAAAAAUGGACAAGAAGAUCUUCAUCUCUCUUCUUUAUUUUUUCUUUUUCUUUCUCUUCUUUUUAUCAGAAACAAGCUGUAAAAGAGAAGGAGAAAGAGAAGAAGGAGAGUGUGUGAAGGUUGAAGUGUAUGAUGGUAUUAAUAAAAUACCCCAAAUUACUCAACAAAUUCAAGGAACUCCAACUUUGGAUGUUGUUUU
rnacentral:ribozyme from 13 species